rnacentral:rRNA from 1 species
CCGGACCUGACUGCUAUCGGAUUGGUACUAAGCCAUGCGGGUCAUUGUAGCAAUACAAGGCGGACGGCUCAGUAACACGUAGUCAACCUAACCUAUGGACGUGGAUAACCUCGGGAAACUGAGAAUAAACCGCGAUAGAUCAUUAUGCCUGGAAUGGCUUAUGGUUCAAACAAUUUAUUGCCGUAGGAUGGGACUGCGGCCUAUCAGCUUGUUGGUGAGGUAAUGGCCCACCAAGGCUAUAGCAGGUACGGGCUCUGAGAGGAGAAGCCCGGAGAUGGGUACUGAGACACGGACCCAGGCCCUAUGGGGCGCAGCAGGCGAGAAACCUUAGCAAUGUGCGAAAGCACGACUAGGUUAAUCCGAGUGAUUCCUGUUGAAGGAAUCUUUUGUCAGUCGUAAAACCACAGACGAAUAAGGGGUGGGCAAGUCUGGUGUCAGCCGCCGCGGUAAUACCAGCACCUCGAGUGGUCAGGAGGUUUAUUGGGCCUAAAGCAUCCGUAGCCGGCUUUGCAAGUCUCCGGUUAAAUCCAGCUGCUCAACAGAUGGGCUGCCGGAGAUACUACACAGCUAGGGAGCGGGAGAGGCAGACGGUAUUCUGUGGGUAGGGGUAAAAUCCAUUGAUCCAUAGAGGACCACCAGUGGCGAAGGCGGUCUGCCAGAACGCGUUCGACGGUGAGGGAUGAAAGCUGGGGGAGCAAACCGGAUUAGAUACCCGGGUAGUCCCAGCUGUAAACGAUGCAAACUCGGUGAUGCAUUGGCUUAUGGCCAAUGCAGUGCCGCAGGAAGCCGUUAAGUUUGCCGCCUGGGAAGUACGGACGCA